rnacentral:rRNA from 1 species
AACGAACGCUGGCGGCAUGCCUAACACAUGCAAGUCGAACGAGACCUUCGGGUCUAGUGGCGCACGUGUGCGUAACGCGUGGGAACCUGCCCUUAGGUUCGGAAUAACUCCCCGAAAGGGGUGCUAAUACCGGUUAAUGUCUUCGGACCAAAGAUUUAUCGCCUUUGGAUGGGCCCGCGUUGGAUUAGCUAGUUGGUAGGGUAAAAGCAUACCAAGGCGACGAUCCAUAGCUGGUCUGAGAGGAUGAUCAGCCACACUGGGACUGAGACACGGACCAGACUCCUACGGGAGGCAGCAGUGGGGAAUAUUGGACAAUGGGCGAAAGCGUGAUCAAGCAAUGCCGCGUGAGUGAUGAAGGCCUUAGGGUUGUACAGCUCUUUUACCCGGGAUGAUAAUGACAGUACCGGGAGAAUAAGCUCCGGCUAACUACGUG